UCUUACAUCACAUAGCGCCUGCAACUCCCCUAAAAGCCACCACCAUCACCAUCACAACAACCACCACCGCUCAGCUAGCAGAACAAGUAGAUAAAGAGAAAGUAAAGAGGAAAGGAAGAAUUUUUAAGCAUGGUAGGGACUGGGACGGACUCUCAAGCUGUUGAGGUAGAGGGAAAUGCUGGGGUUUCUGAUCAAUUGAAAAGCCUCCAAAUUAACAACAAUCAGCAAGGCGAUGAUAAUCAUGUCUUGUCUCAAGAUAGCAAUGGUAAGGGAAUCUCUCCUACUGAAAAGAAUGAUGACGACGGUGAGCAAGGGGAUGAACAAGCAGUAAAUGAAUCACAAGGGGUGUUUCAGGAAUGCUACAUUUGUUGAGCUAUGCAUGUAGCAAAUAAUUUGUUGAUGCUUCAUUCUACGUGGAGGGGAUUAUUUAUCUUGGAUAAAGGGCCUUGAUAUUGUCUGUAGUAAAGUUAUUUUCCGAAUUUGUCAAUAAACUAUAGGUGCCUCUUUCAAAGACAGUGUCAUGAAUUCUGAAUCCAGAUAUGGUGAUCUUGUUAAUGUGAAACCAACAAUGGGAACCAAUGAAGGUAAACGACGAGCAGAAAUAGUGGAGUGAUUACAUGAAAUGGUCCCUGAUUCAAGGCUCCCAUUGGAAGCUUCUGAAGAGGACCUCAGAGAAUAUCUGAUCAAUGGGGCUGUUUUUGAUAGCAUUUUGAACAGGCUGAGUCUGGAAUCUGUUGAUCAGGUUGAUAACUCAAACUUCUCUUCCGAGUCACAUUUGGAGAGUGUUUCAAGGUUUCUGGAGGCCGUGUAUGAAAUGGGAUUGCCCAAGUUUGAGGUGCAAGACCUAGAACAGGGAUCUAUGAAACCAGUUUUGGAGUGUUUCUGGGCAGUUAAGGAAAAGUUUAGUUUAACCCCUGGAGAAGUCGCACGUUCAUCUUCGAUCAGAAGUCCAAACAAUGGAAGGAGGAGCUGGAGCUUGUCAGGAGCAGAAUUUGAUAGUUCACCGGAUAUUUUUCUCCACCAGGACAUAGUUCUUUGGGGUCUACGGAUGAGAGACGGAAGAAUACACAAGACUCAAAGUUCAAGCGUGUUUUGCGAAGUCAUGUUGCAUCAGAACCAUCAGCUGCAUUGAUACAUCAUGUUGGACAUAAGUUUCAUGAGGUGUUUUAGUUGAAAGAAGGACGUUAUAUCUGAAAUGAUGAAAUCAAAUAGUUUAGAUAAUGCCCCAACUCAAUCGCUUUUGAGUGUCAUUCGCGGAAUCUUAGAUGAGUGCAUCGAAAAGAAAAAUGGGGAAAUACCUCAAGUAUGCCACGUGUAUCAAUCCUUUUGAAAAAAGUUAUGUUAGAAAUUGAGCGACGACGUGCAACUCAAGCAGACCACAUUAGAAGUCAAAACAAUCUAUACAAGUCUCGCGAAGAUAAGUAUCAGUCUAGAAUUAGAAUACUUGAAAUCCUUGCAACUGGGACUAGUGAAGAGACCCAGAUUGCUAUGAACAGGCUUUAGCAGUUAAAGGUCCAUUUAGCCAUUACUAUGUUUUUUUGUUAAGUAUGAUACGUAAGUAUGGUUGUCGAGGUAUGAUCGCUGUCGUAUGCGUCAAAAAUAAAUUACACUUUCUCACUACUCAAAAUAUAUAAUAUAGCAAGGGUAAGAAAGGAUCGUUCCCACACAGAGGACUAUGGUUGUCAAGUUGUUUCGAUUUCCUAUAAAUAACAGUGGGGAGUUUU